GUAAACCAAGCUGCAUGGGUCCUGACACACAAGGCCUGCCACAGGAACACUCAGCCCCAAUUCAGUAUAGUUUUCUAUUGACUUGACUACUCUAACCUGCAAGAUCUCAAACUGAAUAUACAAAAAGACAGUCUAUGGAUGUCAAUACUGAGAUAACAGAGAAGCUAAAGUUAUCUGAAGCAAAAUGUAAAACAAUCAUGAUAAAACUGAUGAAGAUGGCCUUUUCUGGUCCGCCUGGUAAACUCCUAUUCUUCCUUCAGAUUCAGCCCAAAUCAGUCUUCAGUAAUAAUUCUCACUUACUGGACUUGGCGCUUGACUGAGAGAGUGAGGCAGAAUGACUUUGGACCGUACUGGUGAAAAAUAAGGGCACACUUAACAUUUUGUUCAACAGUGUUUGAAGGAUAAAAAUGAUUCCUGCCUACGUGAAAAAAAU
rnacentral:lncRNA from 1 species